ACAUCAGGUUGAAACACCAGUUCCCAUACGAUCACUGAAGUUAAGCAACAUUGAGCCUGGUCAGUACCUAGAUGGGUGACCACUUGUGAAUACCAAGUACUGUAAG
rnacentral:rRNA from 1 species